GCCCCGGUGGCCUAGUGGUUAGAGCGUCCGCCUCUGAUACGGGAGGUCGUGUGUUCGAACUCUGGCUGAGUCA